CGUUGCGCCAUCAACAAAUUAGUGCGUUAUUGCCGGUCGCGAUUGUGGUUAAUCAGAUAGAAGCAAAACAACGCGAUUUUCCUGAAACUUUUUCUGCAAAUAAGUUCGACUCCGACGCGAAACCGUGAAAAUACGUAGUUAGAUUCAAUUUUCCGUUCGAAGGAUCGAGAAUUCAUGACUGACAAAAGUCGUUAACGUCUUUUUCGAAUAGAAGACUAUGUUCGCUCUCAGAGCGACGCUCGCCGAUCGUUUACCAGUUGCCGUCCUACUUCGACUGAUCGUUCAGAAUCCCCUGUCUGGAUCGAAUUUUGUCACAGCUGUCAAUCCUGAAGCAAGCAUGUCGUUCGAGGUUGAAAAACAGAAAUUCUUAACCAUGCCAAUGGAAGAGAAAAGGAAAUACUAUAAGGGAAGCAUUACCACGUUAGAUCAAAUUCCAACAUGGGUGGACUAUUGGCAUAAAAAUAAAUCCAAUAUCGGCUUGUUGACACUUGAGAAAGUCGAGAAAGUUGACAACGAGUUAGCUAACAAAGUUUCAAUGUGGCAGGGCGAUAUCACAUCUCUAGAGAUAGACGCUAUCGUCAAUGCUGCAAAUUCUAGACUUCUCGGUGGUGGAGGAGUUGACGGAGCUAUUCACCGAGCUGCAGGACCAAAUUUAAAGAAAGAGUGUGCAACUUUGGGAGGAUGUCGCGUCGGAGAAGCUAAAAUAACCGGGGCUUAUAUGUUACCCUCAAAGUAUGUCAUUCAUACGGUUGGCCCGCAAGGGGAAAAGCCUGAAAAGUUGAGGGAAUGUUAUGAAAAUAGUCUCGCCUUAGCCAAAGAGAAUAAAUUGCGCACAAUAGCAUUUCCUUGCAUAUCAACCGGAAUCUAUGGAUAUCCGCAAAGACCGGCGGCCAAAGUAGCUUUGUCGACGGUCAAGAAGUUCCUACUCGACAACAAAGACGCAGUGGAUAGAGUUAUCUUUUGUCUAUUCCUUAAAACUGACAAAGAUAUAUACGAGGAACUGUUACAAAAAUAUUUUGCUACCGAUUAGAUAUCUGCUGGCAGAGGUGUCGUCCUAUAUUUUCGAACGAAAUUUAGAACGCGUCCCCCUUAUCGAAACACCCAACUAUCGUCAGAUAACUUUACAUUAAUUAGAGUACCAACUAAUUCGAGCACUGUUGGAGCGUUUUUCGAAAUCUAUACAGGGUCUCGAACUUGGGCUAACAAAUGAUCGCGGUACGGUAGGCAAGCACCUUACCAACUACGCUACACUUUUGGCAGAGCUCGUCAGAAUUUUCUUUGAAUAGUAGAUUACAAAUAGAAACUCCGUACAGCGAUAUAUUCGCAAUGUUUAUUCGAUUAAACGGUUGGUUAACUAACCGUUCAUCGCAUGACGAACCAUUGAACAUAAUAUUUCGAUUAGGAGAAUCAAUAAACUUAUGUUCGAAUUGCA